CAGGUUUGGCUUAUGCUGAGUGCACUCUCCCAGCUAUUCCCUAAACAGGACUCAAAGGCAAGAGUGUUCCCAGGUGUCAUCAUGAGCCAUGCCACCCUGUUUUAGGGUGGGCACACAGGAGGAAGAAUGUUUUGAGUGUUUCCCCCCAUCAUCCAGUAAAGGAUGGAGGAAUAUCAAAUUGUACUGAAAUUUGUAUCCUGAAGUUUGGAAAUCGCUGUCUUCAGACUGCUCAGACAGACAUCCUCUCAGAUCUCUGCACAACUUUUCUGGGGAGAACAGAUGCACAAACACCGGAGGAACUGGAAAUAGCAACCGAGUUACAGAACUCAAGAACUCACAGUAUAUGAACUCUCACUAACUUUGUAUUCCUAUCAGGGAACAUGUAUAAGAGAUCAUCAAGACCUAUUUGUUUGGUUGUUUUUUUUUUUUUAAUUGUCUUCUCUUUUAAUUCUCUGGCAAGGUAUGUUGCAAUGAUUGCAGAACUGUAUCCCAACCAAGAAUGCUUUCCUUAAACAGGGAAACGUAAUCUGUCCUGAGAGACACUUUGAUUUGAAAUCUAUAACUUAGUUUACUCCUCAGAAUAUGUCGUGACAUCUCAGAAAAGUUUUUAACUCUGGGUAUGGGGUCAGACUGAAAAUUACAAGCUUGAAUUGUUGUGAAGAUUCUAUGCUCUGAUACCUACUCAUGGAAACUUUAUUUUAUCAUUUUGGCCUUCUGCUUUUGCACCCCUGUUUUGUGUAUUCAGACUAAACUCUUGGCAAUGCCAUUCUAUUAUUAUAUUUGCACAGUCCCUUCUACAAAAGCAUCUAGAAAACAGCUGAAGCCUCUAGCCAACAAUACUGUA